rnacentral:lncRNA from 1 species
AAAAAUUAAACUCUUAGCUAUCAAUAAUAUAAGAAAAUUUUUAUACCAAAUAAGUUAUUAUUGACUAUCUCCCUUAAAAUAUGAAUGUUGGAUAAAUCACAUGACUUAUUAAACUGUCUCAACGAGAUCUCAUAAAUAAACUCAUAAAUAUGAAAAUGCGUGAAAUUUGAUUUCUAUGUAGUUUAAAUAGUUUAGAUCAUAUUUAACGGAGCCGAUCGUCAAUUUGGAAGCUUUAUCAUAAAAAACAAAUCGGUAGUAAAACGGCUCGUUUACUCCCGAUAGUAUUCUAGCUCAACUCUAU